UAUCUCUGAGCCCUUUCCCACAGAGAAGGUGGAAGAGCCUGCUGGGUUGUCUAUGGGCUUGGAUACGAGUGCUUGCUGUAUUUCUCAGAAAAGACGUUGAUUUCUUUUUGAACGUGAUACGCCAAGUAUCCUGAGCUUCCAGGAAUGAAGUCAUGUAGCUCACCAAGGAACUUCUUCAUUGUAUCAACAGAAACAUAACCUACAGAGGGAAAACUAUAUUUGAAGUGUCUGACUUUUUUUUUUCAAUCUUUUUGGUCCUUUGAGUUAGGACUAAUGAAAAGUUGCACAGAAAAGAAGGUGGAAUUUAUCACUUUUAAAUAUCCAGGAAGACAAGAUCUUCCUAAGCCAACUAAUUUCUACUGACAGCAUUUUUCUUUUUUAAUAAAUGCAGUAGUAUGGAGGGGCAUAGCGCCCAUAAGGCUGUGCUAACUGCUAGAAGCAGAAACACGAGAACAAUUUACUUGACAACCACAACAAUGAAAUGUAAAACAAUUCUGAAAAACGACAGAACUCUGAGUGGUACAAGGACCAAUCACAAUUUCAGAAGACUGAAGAUGAAGCACGGCACACACUUUUUGGUACAACGAUUAUAGAGCAGGGGUGCAGAAUGAGGCGUACAUUUGCAGAUAUGGACAAUGUGUUGAACUGUUUUGCUUGACUAUACUUCUUGUAAUAAGAGAUGGCUUCUAUUUGGUGAGAGAGGGACAUUUUGGUAGGUAGUGAUAGAGAUGCAAAAAAGGGAGAGAAAAUAGCAUCAAGAAAAUAUUUUAAAAGUGCUUAGAAGAAAAAAGUUCAGAAUGGAACACAAAGCAAUUUUGUCACUGUGCUAAAUUCAAAUUUUUUUAAAACUGUACAGAACAAACUCAGUGUCACAUACAAUCCUCUUUGUUGUUCUUUGUAUACUGAAAUGUUCAUGUUAAAUUUGUAAUAAAAAAUUUUAAUCUAAAAAAAAUAAUUAAUGUACACACUUAACCCUAUCUGCUCACUAUUUUCCCUUUCUCAAUGGUAUGAGCCCAUUAGUUACUAUUUUUUGAAGCUGGCUUUGGGAGUUGCUGCCUUUCAUUUCUCCCACAUUUUGAGUUUCUUGAGAAGUUACAUGGAGUCGUGGAUAGAGAGCUAGAAUAAGGAAGACCUGGGUUCAAGUCUUGUCUCUGAUAUAUGAUCUCUCAGGCAACUCUCCAAGACAAUGAGUUACAAAACAAUUGCAGACCUGCAUAGAUAGACAGAGGGAACUGUAUUUCCUCAGGGGAAAUUUCCUACACCAAAGAAAUCCUAGGUCUGGACAAAAAAACAAAACAAAAACAAAACCCCAACUAUUACUGCCUAUUAAGCAGAACAUCUAAGUGUGAAUUAUGCUCCCUUUACCUUCAUUUCUGUGAAUGACAGAUAACGGGCUAGAUUUGUCAAGCUAUUGAAGUAUUAUAUUUUCAUCCUACAACUUAAUCACUUGUAUCUUCUCUAUAAAAAUCUGUUUAAAUUUUCUUUCUUUCAUUCUUUCUUUCU